AUGGUUAGUCUGGAGGAGACAGGAAACAACACAGGAGCUACGCCCAAGUGCCUUAACCCUGGAAGGGCUGUGCCGAGGAAGAGGCAGGGGACUGACUACGGUUCCAAGGGCAGGACAGGAAGGUAUCCAACUGGGUGUCUUGCAGUGUAUCCCCCGUGGAUAAGGGGAACUUCUGACUUAGACGACCUUCCCAAGGACAGUGAGGUAGCUUUCUUCCCUCCUCUUUCCCUCCCUCCCUCCUUCCCUCUCUCCCUCCUUCCCUCUCUCCCUCCUUCCCUUCCCCUUCCGCUUCCCCUCCCGCUUCCCCUCUCGCUUCCCCCCCUUUCUUCUUUAGUGCCUUCAGUCUUUUUCAAACUCUAGCUCCAGCCUAAUCAGUGACACAUUAACUGGGUUUUCCUGUUUAUCCUCUCUCAUUGCUUCUCUGAGUCAGAGCCUCUUCUCUAUAAGUCACUGGAACUGCCCUUGUACUUGUGACCUGCCCUGUACUCAACAGUUUUUGUUCUGGGAAGCCCUGGGAUUCUGCUAAUACCGAUCACUGUAGGUGCUGAAUGGAAACAGAUAAAGAACAUGACCUCAAGGAGCUUCUUGUCAAUGAGAAGACCAAGCUGAUGCCUGGCAAAGGUAAAUGCCACCAUCACAAAAUAAGUAAAAGCGUGCAUUAGCUAAUUUGUAAAUUCAGCUUAAGAUGAAUCCUACCUCUUGGGCCCUUCUCUGAUGCUGGUGUUGGGAAUGUAGGGUUCCUUGAGCCUCCAUCAAGGUCAACAUCAAAUCCCACUGGCUUCUGUCAGCACCACCUUGAUGACCCUAGCUUAAUUUCUCUCUUUCCCGUGACCGGAACUCUUAGACCUUUUCACAGACAUACAAGGAUUUAUCAUUCAAAGCUCAAGGGAUGAAGUUAAAGCUAUUGGCCCAUAGGAAGCCUGAACUCAUGGUUAGGAGAAAAAGAUUGAGGAGUCUGAGUGGGAAGAGUUUGCUAUUUCAAAGACAGCAUCAUAGUACUAGUCAUUGUGGGAAAACUCAGGACUGGGUUGGACUUACUUAUACUAUGUUACUUUUAUAUUUUGGUUACUGAGGGAGGUGAAGGUCCUCCUUUCAGUUCUUGGGAUGUCUAAAUAGCUUCAUGACUCCUGGGCUCUUGGAUAAAUUUGUUUUCAGCAUCAUCUGGCUGUACUUUUUGUCCUUAGCAGGGGUAAAAGGAACCCUUUGAAAAGCCACAUACCCCAGGUUUAAGUUUUUGCCUUGAAAUGUGCCUGGCAUCCCAGGCAGUUUGGGACUGCGCCCUUCCUCCCUCUUGCCAAGUGUCCUGUAUGUUCUUCAGGGCUAGCAUGGAAUUAAGGUGUGGAAGCUGCUGGCCAUCUUUCUGAAUGCUUGCCUGAUCUCUGCAGGUUGCCUCACCCCCAAUCUUCCUGUGCCCUUCUGCAGCCAUUCUGUCCCUUCUCCUGUACCUCCCUGGGGUCAGCUGCAGCUCAUCCCUGGUCUUGUUCUCCCUGAGGUGCUGAUGGUGACAACUUACAAUAGGGUCUCUCCAUAGAGCACUGAGAUGGAGGGCAAUUCUUAGGCCUUUCCCUCACUACAUCAUAAGCAUUAACACUUCUGCUUGGUCCAGAGCUCAGGAAUGCUACUUGUAACCACCUUGAGUUAUUUUGUCAGUAAAAUAGGUCUUUGUGGGCUAGCACUGGAUCUAUUUAAUGAUAACCUUCACUGAGGGGCUGCCAAGUACCAGGCUACAUUUGUCUGGUCCUUCGUAUGUAUCUUCUUUAAUCUUUUCAAUAGUCCUACAAAACAAGUGUUAGUAUUAGCCUCUAUUAUGCAAAGGAAGUCACUAAAAUACAGAUUGAUGAAUGAAUUUGCUGUAGAUCAUUCAGGUUGAAUGCGGCAGAGCCAGGAUUCAGACCUAGCUUUUUCAGGCUGAGUCGCACACUGGGCUUUACGACUAGGUACUUGGCGUUACUGUAAUGUAGAUCAUCUCAACAAAAUAGAGUCAUGAUUUGUUAAUGUGAUAUUAACAAAUAUUUAACACAUAAGCAACUUAUUUUGGUUACCUUAAAAAUAAAAUAUUUGACUGGGCAUGGUGGCUAUUGCCUGUAAUCCUAGCAUUUUGGGAGGCUGAGGCGGGGACAUUGCCUGACCUCCUGAGUUCAAGACCAGCCAGGGGAACAGUGAAUCCCAUCCCUACAAUCAAUCAAUCAAUCAAUCAACAAGCAAGCAAGCAAAACACAGCUACUCAGGAGGCUGAGGUAGGAAGAUCGCUUGAGCCCAGGAGGCAGAGGUUACUGUACUCCAGGCUGGGCUGUACAGCCAGACCUUGACUGAAGUGACAACAAAAAUAGGUCCAGCGCAGUGGCUCACAUUUGUAAUCCCAGCACUUUGGAAGCCCAGGAGCUUGAGCCCAGCCUGUGCAACACAGUGAAACCCCGUCUCUACAAAAAAUUAAAAUUAGCCGGGCAUGAUGGCGUGUGCCUGUAGUCCCAGCUACUUGGGAGGCUAAGGUGGGAGGAUGGCUUGAACCCGGAGUUUGAGGCUGCUGUGGGCUAUGAUCUGCCACUGUACUCCAGCCUGGGUGACAGCGAGACCCUGUCUCUAAAAACAAAAACACAUAUACAAACAAAAGCCCUCAAGUAUUCAAAGUGUUUUCUCUUACUGAGAGACUCUAUAAUGCAGUUUUUAUGGGAAAGAAGGUGAGGCUUGAGGGGGUCACCAAAGAAAAGUAAGAUACGAAGAAAGUGGAGGGGUUGUCUCGAUUUGAAUACUGAAGCAAGUGCUUAUCCCAUAAUCAUUCUUGUCCCAGAGAUUUUACACUCAACAAUGGAAAGUCACUGAGAAUCCCAGUACUGCAGAAAACAGCCUGUGGAGCAGGGCCCAAGUAGGGUUGCAGAUGACUGUUACCAGAAAGGGGUCCUGAUCCAAACCCCAAGAGAGGGUUCUUGGGUCUUGCGCAAGAAAGAAUUCAGGGCGAGUCUGUGAAGUGAAAGCAAGUUUAUUCAGAAAGUAAAGGAAUAAGAGAAUAGCUACUCCAUAGACAUAGCAUCCCUGAGGGGGCUACUGGUUGCCCAUUUUAAUGGUUAUUUCUUGAUGAUAUGUUAAACAAGGGGUGAGUUAUUCAUGCCUCCCCCUUUUAGACCAUAUAGGGUAACUUCCUGUUGUUACCAUGGGAUUUGUAAACUGUCGUGGCACUGGUGGGACUGUAGCAGUGAGGACAGGAGGUCACUCUUGUCACCAUCUUGGUUUUGGUGGGUUUUAGCCAGCUUCUUUACUAUAAUCUGUUUUAUCAGCAAGAUCGUUAUGACCUGUAUCUUGGGCCGAUCUCCUCUAUCUCAUCCUGUGACUUAGAAUGCCUUAACCAUCUGGGAAUGCAGCCUAGUAGGUCUCAGCCUCAUUUUACCAAGCCCUUGUUCAAGAUGGAGUUGCUCUGGUUCAAGCACCUCUGGCAACCCUACAUGACUUUCUUGUCUUUGCUGUGGCUUCAUCUACAGUCAGAGGCCAGUGGGGAGAGGACCAAAAAAGAAAAUACCUAAAUUCUCUGCGCUGAAAGUCUUGGAGGUGAAUGCGUGUAAACAGUUCAUGCACCAAGAAGGCAAUUCUGACUCAUCUCCAUUAUUGCCUCAUUAUCUUCAGAAGAAACCCACCCUUCUCAACUCUACUUUGUGAUGCUGGAGAUUAUUCAUGCCUCUUGCAAACCACGUUUCUGCUUACACUCCGCCGAUAAAGGGCAGUAGGGAGACAGCUGGCUGGAGGAGGGACUUCCUGUUUGCUUGCUAUCUACUUCCUGCUUCUGUGACCGUCAUCAUGUCAACGCCUAUUUACCUCUCAGUGGCUGUUUCUUUGUGUAGCUGCACUACAUUCAGUUUACAGUAGCUAUCAGCAGAGAUAUCAUUUGCCUCCUGAGAGGUCUGGAUCUCAGCCCAGAGGGCCCUCCUCUGAGCUCAGAGACCUCAACAUUAGUUGAGUGGUCCCCACUCUUCAGAGCUAUGAGUUUUAGCUACUUUGGUGUCCCGCCACCCAAAAUUUCAAUUUAAUAAUUUCCAAUUCCUCCCUUAAUUUCCUCAAUCUAGGAGUGGUAGCUACCUCCAACAAUUGCUAGUACCUUAAUAGAGCCCGCCUUCCCCAACACUGUAUACCUUAACUUUAUACCUAGUUAAGUUCUUUAUAUUAAAUUUGCUCUGUUCAGGCUGGGCGUGGUGGCUCACUCCUGUAAUCCCAGCACUUUGGGAGGCCAAGGUGCGAGGAUCGCUUGAGCCCAGGAAUUUGAGACCAGCCUGGGCAACAUAGCAAGACCUCAUCUCUACUAAAAAUAAUUUUUAAAAAAUUAUCUCUGUGUGGUGGUGUGUGCUGUGGUCCCAGCUAUUCGGGGUGCUGGGGCAGGGGGAUGGCUCGAGCUCAGGAGGUCAAGGCUGCGUUGAGCCGAGAUCGCGCCGCUGCACUCCAGCCUGGGUGACAGAGCCAGACGCUUUGCAAAAACAACAAAAAACUUG
rnacentral:lncRNA from 1 species